CCCCCCGAACUAUGUUUUUAAGCGGAGUGAUUUAACCUGAUACGGUGGUUGUGUGUGCAUUUUUUUUUAAAACAGUGUGAUUUCAAUUUUGGCCACUAGAUGUCAGCAAAGCUGUAUAAUAAAAUUUACAGACUCAGGAUGGCCGCUAACACAGUUCAUCCAGCCUCAGAUGCCGGCCUUAAACAUAUGGUUGCUGGUUGUUGGCCUGAGAUUUCACCCGACAGCUAGUAUUAAACCGAAUGAAGGUGAACAAAAGAGGGCUGUACACCUCACUGAAUGAAAGUCAAGUGAUAACGACUUUGCCUCUCUUCUCAACAUCCCACCAUUUAAAACACAACUUGGCACCUCAGAGGGCAUUUUUUAGGAAGAUAUACGCAAGUCUUUCAUGUCUGAGAUCUAAGAGUGAUUACAUAUUCAGACCUGAGGGAUGAAUCUGCGAGGACCUGCUUUAGUCACUGUUUACCUGCUGGAAGGAGACUGAAGGGAGCUAA